UACUAGAACGUGUCAGAAGCGAAGGU
rnacentral:piRNA from 1 species